GGCGUUGAAGCAGUGUAUGUCAGACUUCCAAGAAAAGCUCGCAAUGUCAUAAACAAAUAAUGCCUGUACCAUAACCGACACAGGUGGGUAGGUAGAGUAUACUAAGGGGCGCGAGAUAACUCUCUCUAAGGAACUCGGCAAAAUGACUCCGUAACUUCGGGAGAAGGAGUGCCUUAUUUAUAAGGUUGCAAUAACAAGAUCCAAGCAACUGUUUAUCAAAAACACAGGUCUCCGCUAAGUCGUAAGACGAUGUAUGGGGGCUGACGCCUGCCCAGUGCCAGAAGGUUAAAGAAGUUGGUUAGUGUAUGCGAAGCUGAUGACUGAAGCCCUGGUGAACGGCGGCCGUAACAAUAACGGUCCUAAGGUAGCGAAAUUCCUUGUCGGGUAAGUUCCGACCCGCACGAAAGGCGUAAUGAUUUGGAUACUGUCUCGGAGAGAGGCUCGGUGAAAUAGACUUGUCUGUGAAGAUGCGGACUACCUGCACCAGGACAGAAAGACCCUAUGAAGCUUUACUGUAACUUGAAAUUGGAAUUGGACUUUGCUUGCGCAGUAUAGGUGGGAAGCGUUGAAAAUAUUCUUGCGGGAGUAUUGGAGCUAUCAGUGAGAUACCACUCUUGUAAUGUUAGAUUUCUAACUUUGAACCAUAAUCUGGUCAAAGAACAGUUUCAGGUGGGCAGUUUGACUGGGGCGGUCGCCUCCCAAAUGGUAACGGAGGCGUACAAAGGUUUCCUCUGAACGGAUAGAAAUCGUAUCUAGAGUGUAAAGGCAUAAGUAAGCUUGACUGUGAGACCUACAAGUCGAGCAGGGACGAAAGUCGGUCUUAGUGAUCUGACGGUACUGAGUGGAAAGGCCGUCACUCAACGGAUAAAAGUUACUCUAGGAUAACAGGCUGAUCUCCCCCAAGAGUUCACAUCGACGGGGAGGUUUGGCACCUCGAUGUCGGCUCAUCGCAUCCUGGGGCGGUAGUACGUCCCAAGGGUUGGGCUGUUCGCCCAUGAAAGCGGUACGCGAGCUGGGUUCAGAACGUCGUGAGACAGUUCGGUCCAUAUCCGGUGUAGGCGCUAGAAUAUUGAGAGGAGCCUUCUUUAGUACGAGAGGACCGAGAAAGACACACCGCUGGUGUACCAGUUAUCGUGCCAACGGUAAACGCUGGGUAGCUAUGUGUGGAGUGGAUAACCGCUGAAAGCAUCUAAGUGGGAAGCCCACCUCGAGAUGAGUAUUCCC
rnacentral:rRNA from 1 species